GACGAACGCUGGCGGCGUGCUUUACACAUGCAAGUCGAGCGAUGAGAUCCCUUCGGGGAAGGAUUAGCGGCGAACGGGUGAGGAACACGUGAGGAAUCUGCCUUCAACACUGGGAUAACUCCGGGAAACCGGGGCUAAUACCGGAUACGAGACCUGCAGGCAUCUGCGGGUCUGGAAAGUUUUUCGGUUGAAGAUGACCUCGCGGCCCAUCAGCUUGUUGGUGAGGUAAUGGCUCACCAAGGCGACGACGGGUAGCCGGCCUGAGAGGGCGACCGGCCACACUGGGACUGAGACACGGCCCAGACUCCUACGGGAGGCAGCAGUGGGGAAUAUUGGGCAAUGGAGGGAACUCUGACCCAGCGACGCCGCGUGCGGGAUGAAGGCCUUCGGGUUGUAAACCGCUUUCAGCAAGGAAGAAGCGAAAGUGACGGUACUUGCAGAAGAAGCACCGGCUAACUAUGUGCCAGCAGCCGCGGUAAUACAUAGGGUGCAAGCGUUGUCCGGAAUUAUUGGGCGUAAAGAGCUCGUAGGUGGUUCGUCACGUCGGAUGUGAAAAUCUGGGGCUUAACCCCAGACCUGCAUUCGAUACGGGCGAGCUAGAGUGUGGUAGGGGAGACUGGAAUUCCUGGUGUAGCGGUGGAAUGCGCAGAUAUCAGGAGGAACACCAAUGGCGAAGGCAGGUCUCUGGGCCAUUACUGACACUGAGGAGCGAAAGCGUGGGGAGCGAACAGGAUUAGAUACCCUGGUAGUCCACGCCGUAAACGGUGGGCACUAGUUGUGGGAACCUUCCACGGUUUCUGCGACGCAGCUAACGCAUUAAGCGCCCCGCCUGGGGAGUACGAUCGCAAGAUUA
rnacentral:rRNA from 1 species